rfam:Trypanosoma congolense IL3000, WGS project CAEQ01000000 data, contig: 1321
GCGCGGUUGGUCUAGUGGAAAAACAUCCGCAUUCCAUUAGCGGAAGACCCGGGUUCGAUCCCCGGACUGCGCG